CCUACGGGUGGCAGCAGUGAGGAAUAUUGGUCAAUGGCCGUAAGGCUGAACCAGCCAAGUCGCGUGAAGGAAGAAGGAUCUAUGGUUUGUAAACUUCUUUUAUAGGGGAAUAAAGGUAUCCACGUGUGGAUAUUUGCAUGUACCCUAUGAAUAAGCAUCGGCUAACUCCGUGCCAGCAGCCGCGGUAAUACGGAGGGUGCGAGCGUUAAUCGGAAUUACUGGGCGUAAAGCGCUCGUAGGCGGUAUGUCAAGUCAAGGGUGAAAUCCCCGCGCUCAACGUGGGAACUGCCUUUGAAACUGGCAAACUGGAGUGUGUGAGAGGAUAGUGGAAUUCCAGGUGUAGGAGUGAGAUCCGUAGAUAUCUGGAGGAACAUCAGUGGCGAAGGCGGCCUGCUGGACAUUAACUGACGCUAAGGCGCGAAAGCGUGGGGAGCAAACAGGAUUAGAUACCCCUGUAGUC
rnacentral:rRNA from 1 species